rnacentral:misc_RNA from 1 species
GAUGAAGAACGCAGCGAAAUGCGAUAAGUAAUGUGAAUUGCAGAAUUCCGUGAAUCAUCGAAUCUUUGAACGCACAUUGCGCCCCCUGGUAUUCCGGGGGGCAUGCCUGUUCGAGCGUCAUUAUAACCACUCAAGCUCUCGCUUGGUAUUGGGGUUCGCGGUUCCGCGGCCCCUAAAAUCAGUGGCGGUGCCUGUCGGCUCUACGCGUAGUAAUACUCCUCGCGAUUGAGUCCGGUAGGUCUACUUGCCAGCAACCCCCAAUUUUUACAGGUUGACCUCGGAUCAGGUAGGGAUACCCGCUGAACUUAAGCAUAUCAAUAAGCGGAGGA